ensembl:misc_RNA 7SK 7SK RNA
GGAUGCGAGGGCAACCUGGCCGCGACAUCUGUCACCCCACUGAUCGCCAGGGUUGAUUCGGCUUAUCUGGCUAGCUAGGCGGGUGUCCCAUUCCUCCCUCACUGCUCCAUGUGCCUCCCUCCAAAGCUGUGUGCUCAGUCGAAGAGGACGACCUUCCCCAAAUAAAGACAGACUGGUCUUUGGUGGAGGUUAUACAAGUAGCUGCGCUCCCCUGCUAGAACCUCCAAACAGGCUCUCAAGAAAAAGAACUCGAGGGCCAGGUGGUGACACACCUGGUUAAGUAUACACAUUAUAGUGCACAGGACAUGGGUUCAACCCCUU